rnacentral:rRNA from 1 species
UACGGGGGGGCAAGCGUUGUUCGGAAUUACUGGGCGUAAAGCGCACGUAGGCGGCUUUGUAAGUUAGAGGUGAAAGCCCGGGGCUCAACCCCGGAAUUGCCUUUAAGACUGCAUCGCUUGAACGUCGGAGAGGUGAGUGGAAUUCCGAGUGUAGAGGUGAAAUUCGUAGAUAUUCGGAAGAACACCAGUGGCGAAGGCGGCUCACUGGACGACUGUUGACGCUGAGGUGCGAAAGACGUGGGGAGCAAACAGGAUUGAGAAACCCCAGU